ACAUUUAUAACUUAAUGGAUAGAGUAUUGGAUUUCGGUCCCAAUAGUACAGGUUCGAUUCCUGUUAAAUGUA
rnacentral:tRNA from 1 species